GCUAGAUCUAGUCCUAGAAAUACCUAUUUAAACUAUUUACAAGACCUAUAAAACAUUAAUCAGCCCUAGUAUAGGUGAUAGAACAGACCAACCUAGGCACAAUAGAGAGAGUACCGUGAGGGAACGUUGAGAGAUUUCAAACCUGUAAGCAAUAAAAAGCAAAGAUUACCCCUUCUACCUUUUGCAUAAUGACUUAGCCAGUUAAACCGGACAAAACGAAUUAAAGCCCGCCCCCCCGAAAUUAAGUGAGCUAUUGUAGAGCAGUUGCUAGAACGAACUCGUCUGUGUGGCAAAACAGUGAGAUGACUUUACAAUAGAGGUGAAAGGCCAAUCGAACUUAAUGAUAGCUGGUUGUUCAAAAAAAGAAUUUAAGUUCAACUUUAAAUUUAAUUCAAGUACUAAUAAACGUUAAUUAAAUUUAAAUGUUAUUCAAAAGAGGGACAACUCUUUUGAUAUGUAAACAAACUUCACUAGAGGAUAAUGGAUAAUACACAAAACAUUGUAGGCCCAAAAGCAGCCACCAAUUAAGAAAGCGUUAAAGCUCAAACUCACCCAACAUUUAAUUUCAAUAAUCAGCCAAAAUCCCUAUACUAAAUAUUGAACAAUUCUAUAAUUAUUUAGAAGAUAUAAUGCUAACAUGAGUAACCUGAACACAUUCUCCUUGCACAAACAUAAAUACUGAUCGGAACAGCCGCUUACACUUACCCAAACAAAUAGCUAUAAACCCACACUAGUAACCUACUACACACAUUGUUAACCCAACCCAGGCGUGCAAACAAAGGAAAGAUUAAAAGGAAUAAAAGGAACUCGGCAAACAUGAACCCCGCCUGUUUACCAAAAACAUCACCUCUAGCACUAACUAGUAUUAGAGGCACUGCCUGCCCGGUGAGUUAUGACUUUAACGGCCGCGGUAUCCUGACCGUGCAAAGGUAGCAUAAUCACUUGUCUCUUAAUUGGGGACUAGUAUGAAUGGCAUCACGAGGGCUCAACUGUCUCUUAUUCCCAAUCAGUGAAAUUGACCUUCCCGUGCAGAGGCGGGGAUACUAAUACAAGACGAGAAGACCCUGUGGAGCUUAAGUCUAAUAACUCAAUACAUACUAACAUAAUACCCACCGGAACAACACGUAUAAAUCCCUGAGUUAUAGUCUUUGGUUGGGGUGACCUCGGAGCAUAAAAUAACCUCCGAAUGAGUAUAACCAAGAUUAACUAAUCUAAGUGUAAAAAUACCAGUAAUUGACCCAUCUAUUGAUCAACGGAACAAGUUACCCCAGGGAUAACAGCGCAAUCCUAUUUGAGAGCUCAUAUCGAAAAUUAGGGUUUACGACCUCGAUGUUGGAUCAGGACACCCUAAUGGUGCAGCCGCUAUUAAAGGUUCGUUUGUUCAACGAUUAAAGUCCUACGUGAUCUGAGUUCAGACCGGAGAAAUCCAGGUCGGUUUCUAUCUGUAUAUAAAUUUCUCCCAGUACGAAAGGACAAGAGAAAUGGGGCCAACGUCCCAAAUAAGCCCUAAAGCCAACAUAUGAAUCUAUCUAAAUAUAGUAACCAAUUUAUAUACCUUUUCCCCCCCAGAACAGGGUU
rnacentral:rRNA from 1 species